AACGAACGCUGGCGGCAGGCUUAACACAUGCAAGUCGAGCGCCCCGCAAGGGGAGCGGCAGACGGGUGAGUAACACGUGGGAACCUACCUGAAGGUACGGAACAACUCCGGGAAACUGGAGCUAAUACCGUAUGUGCCCGAAAGGGGAAAGAUUCAUCGCCUUCAGAUGGGCCCGCGUCAGAUUAGCUAGUUGGUGAGGUAACGGCUCACCAAGGCGACGAUCUGUAGCUGGUCUGAGAGGAUGAUCAGCCACACUGGGACUGAGACACGGCCCAGACUCCUACGGGAGGCAGCAGUGGGGAAUAUUGGACAAUGGGCGCAAGCCUGAUCCAGCCAUGCCGCGUGAGUGAUGACGGCCUUAGGGUUGUAAAGCUCUUUCGACGGGGACGAUAAUGACGGUACCCGUAGAAGAAGCCCCGGCUAACUUCGUGCCAGCAGCCGCCGUAACAC
rnacentral:rRNA from 1 species